rnacentral:rRNA from 1 species
UGGGGAAUAUUGGACAAUGGGCGAAAGCCUGAUCCAGCCAUGCCGCGUGUGUGAAGAAGGUCUUCGGAUUGUAAAGCACUUUAAGUUGGGAGGAAGGGCAGUAAGCGAAUACCUUGCUGUUUUGACGUUACCGACAGAAUAAGCACCGGCUAACUCUGUGCCAGCAGCCGCGGUAAUACAGAGGGUGCAAGCGUUAAUCGGAAUUACUGGGCGCAAAGCGCGCGUAGGUGGUUCGUUAAGUUGAAUGUGAAAGCCCCGGGCUCAACCUGGGAACUGCAUCCAAAACUGGCGAGCUAGAGUAGGGCAGAGGGUGGUGGAAUUUCCUGUGUAGCGGUGAAAUGCGUAGAUAUAGGAAGGAACACCAGUGGCGAAGGCGACCACCUGGGCUCAUACUGACACUGAGGUGCGAAAGCGUGGGGAGCAAACAGG